CCACAGGUGAGCCCACCCCACAGGUGAGCACUUCCCACAGGUGAGCCCACCCCACAGGUGAGCACUUCCCACAGGUGAGCCUGCCCCACAGGUGAGCACUUCCCACAGAUGAGCCUGCCCCACAGGUGAGCC